CGGAGAUGUGCUCAGGGGAAAAAAAAAUGGCAGAAAGGGAGGAGAGACCAUCCUGCAGCAAUGAAACAAAGCACACGUGUUAAUUUCAAAACAUGAUGGCUUUUUUCCUCCCACACUUUCCCCUCCUGAUGGCUGGUACCGGGAGCGGCUGAGGCCACACAGCCGCCGAAAUUAGCGAACCUCGUUGGGCUCAGCAGCUGAGCUCCGCCUGCUCUGCGGCUGCGGUUCUCUCAGUGAAGGCUCUCUCCUGCGGGCCGACGUUCUCAGACUCGUGUUAGGGGAUGCAUUCCUGCCGUGUUCGCAUCGAAUGGGGAGGCUUGACGCGGAAAAA